rnacentral:rRNA from 4 species
UUGACCUCAAAUCAGGUAGGACUACCCGCUGAACUUAAGCAUAUCAAUAAGCGGAGGAAAAGAAACUAACAAGGAUUCCCCUAGUAACUGCGAGUGAAGAGGGAAAAGCUCAAAUUUAAAAUCUGGCAGCUUCGCUGUCCGAGUUGUAAUUAGA